UGGGGAAUAUUGCACAAUGGGGGGAACCCUGAUGCAGCGACGCCGCGUGAGCGAAGAAGUAUUUCGGUAUGUAAAGCUCUAUCAGCAGGGAAGAAGAGAUGACGGUACCUGACUAAGAAGCACCGGCUAAAUACGUGCCAGCAGCCGCGGUAAUACGUAUGGUGCAAGCGUUAUCCGGAUUUACUGGGUGUAAAGGGAGCGCAGGCGGAGUGUUAAGUCUGAUGUGAAAGCCCGGGGCCCAACCCCGGGACUGCAUUGGAAACUGGCGGUCUGGAGUGUCGGAGGGGCAGGCGGAAUUCCUAGUGUAGCGGUGAAAUGCGUAGAUAUUAGGAGGAACACCAGUGGCGAAGGCGGCCUGCUGGACGAUGACUGACGCUGAGGCUCGAAAGCGUGGGGAGCAAACAGG
rnacentral:rRNA from 1 species